GGUGUAAUCGGGACACACAAUAGAAAUACACACAGCCAAUGGCUUUGAGCAGGUUCUGUGUUUCCUAGUAGGAGAUUAUCACUGUACAAGAAGCCAUAUAACACCAAGGAGGAAGAGACUGUAGGCCACAGUGUGCUGUAUGUUCCCAACAGUAGGUAUUAUAAUCAACUUUAGGUUAUAAACAUGUGUUCCCAACAGUAGGUAUUAUAAUCAACUUUAGGUUAUAAACAUGUGUUCCCAACAGUAGGUAUUAUAAUCAACUUUAGGUUAUAAACAUGUCCUGUUCCCAACAGUAGGUAUUAUAAUCAACUUUAGGUUAUAAACAUGUGUUCCCAACAGUAGGUAUUAUAAUCAACUUUAGGUUAUAAACAUGUCCUGUUCCCAACAGUAGGUAUUAUAAUCAACUUUAGGUUAUAAACAUGUCCUGUUCCCAACAGUAGGUAUUAUAAUCAACUUUAGGUUAUAAACAUGUCCUGUUCCCAACAGUAGGUAUUAUAAUCAACUUUAGGUUAUAAACAUGUCCUGUUCCCAACAGUAGGUAUUAUAAUCAACUUUAGGUUAUAAACAUGUCCUGUUCCCAACAGUAGGUAUUAUAAUCAACUUUAGGUUAUAAACAUGUGUUCCCAACAGUAGGUAUUAUAAUCAACUUUAGGUUAUAAACAUGUCCUGUUCCCAACAGUAGGUAUUAUAAUCAACUUUAGGUUAUAAACAUGUCCUGUUCCCAACAGUAGGUAUUAUAAUCAACUUUAGGUUAUAAACAUGUCCUGUUCCCAACAGUAGGUAUUAUAAUCAACUUUAGGUUAUAAACAUGUGUUCCCAACAGUAGGUAUUAUAAUCAACUUUAGGUUAUAAACAUGUGUUCCCAACAGUAGGUAUUAUAAUCAACUUUAGGUUAUAAACAUGUGGUCCCAACAGUAGGUAUUAUAAUCAACUUUAGGUUAUAAACAUGUCCUGUUCCCAACAGUAGGUAUUAUAAUCAACUUUAGGUUAUAAACAUGUGUUCCCAACAGUAGGUAUUAUAAUCAACUUUAGGUUAUAAACAUGUGUUCCCAACAGUAGGUAUUAUGAUCAACUUUAGGUUAUAAACAUGUCCUGUUCCCAACAGUAGGUAUUAUAAUCAACUUUAGGUUAUAAACAUGUCCUGUUCCCAACAGUAGGUAUUAUAAUCAACUUUAGGUUAUAAACAUGUCCUGUUCCCAACAGUAGGUAUUAUAAUCAACUUUAGGUUAUAAACAUGUGUUCCCAACAGUAGGUAUUAUAAUCAACUUUAGGUUAUAAACAUGUCCUGUUCCCAACAGUAGGUAUUAUAAUCAACUUUAGGUUAUAAACAUGUCCUGUUCCCAACAGUAGGUAUUAUAAUCAACUUUAGGUUAUAAACAUGUCCUGUUCCCAACAGUAGGUAUUAUAAUCAACUUUAGGUUAUAAACAUGUCCUGUUCAACCAUUAUAAUGAAUACCGUCAAUGUAAAUAAGAAUUUGUUCUUAACUGACUUGAGUUAAAUUAAGUAAAUACAUACAUAUAGGAUCUCAGUGUGGUGGAGGAGUCAUUGUGUUUGCUGAUGGACACCAAUUUCUUAACAAUAAAUCAUAAAUUACUGGGUUGCUGAUGAAGGCAACGGACCUAACAAUUAAGUAUAUCUAUUUUUUAAUCCACUUCCACUAUCCUCUAAGAGUUGCUGAAUCUCCUCUCCAGUCUGCUCCUCUAUUCAGACACCUUGGAUGGAGAGAGAGGUGACAUCAGUGUUCCCUAUCACUGGUGGCUGUCAGUAGAUUAUCCUCCCCAAAACUAGAUUUUGGUCAAAGUGCC